CAUUAAGUGGCUGAAAUAUUAAGUAACGGUCUCUUAAACCGAUAUAUAGUGUUUAAUAAACACUCUUAAUGA
rnacentral:tRNA from 1 species